rnacentral:rRNA from 1 species
CCUACGGGUGGCAGCAGUGAGGAAUAUUGCACAAUGGACGAGAGUCUGAACCAGCCAAGUAGCGUGAAGGAUGACUGCCCUAUGGGUUGUAAACCUCUUUUAUAUGGGAAUAAAAUGUUCCACGUGUGAGCUUUUGUAUGUACCAUAUGAAUAAGGAUCGGCUAACUCCGUGCCAGCAGCCGCGGUAAUACGGAGGAUCCGAGCGUUAUCCGGAUUUAUUGGGUUUAAAGGGAGCGUAGGUGGAGUGUUAAGUCAGUUGUGAAAGUUUGCGGCUCAACCGUAGAAUUGCAGUUGAUACUGGCAGUCUUGAGUACAGUAGAGGUGGGCGGAAUUCGUGGUGUAGCGGUGAAAUGCUUAGAGAUCACGAAGAAUACCGAUUGCGAAGGCAGCUCACUGGACUGCAACUGACACUGAGGCUCGAAAGUGUGGGUAUCAAACAGGAUUAGAUACCCUAGUAGUC